rnacentral:rRNA from 1 species
UACGGGGGGGGCAAGCGUUGUUCGGAAUUACUGGGCGUAAAGGGUUUGUAGGUGGCUUGCUAAGUCAGACGUGAAAUCCCUCAGCUUAACUGGGGAACUGCGUCUGAGACUGGCAAGCUUGAGUGCAGGAGAGGAACGCGGAAUUCCAGGUGUAGCGGUGAAAUGCGUAGAUAUCGGGAGGAACACCUGAGGCGAAGGCGGGCUACUGGGCCGAUACUGACGCUGAUGCGCGAAAGCCAGGGGAGCAAACGGG